GUAGAAAAUGUCUUAGCUACUCUAGACUAAACUAAACAAAACUAUAAUUUUCCUUUUAACUGUAGCUUUUGUUUCUAAUUGAAGCCCCUAAAUAAUAAAUCUCAUAUUAAAAAUGAAUAAAAAGUAUCUGAAACCAUGUUUAAACCUCUGCUAAUGGCACAAACCAAACUGAUUAAGUAGGCUGAUUAUCUUCUGAUGGUUCUUU
rnacentral:lncRNA from 1 species